UAGGGGUUCUGAGAGGAAGGUCCCCCACAUUGGUACUGAGACACGGACCAAUCUCCUACGGGAGGCAGCAGUGAGGAAUAUUGGUCAAUGGACGAGAGUCUGAACCAGCCAAGCCGCGUGAAGGAAGACGGAUCUAUGGUUUGUAAACUUCUUUAGUGCGGGAACAAAGCGGCGUCGUGACGCCUGAUGAGUGUACCGCAAGAAUAAGCAUCGGCUAACUCCGUGCCAGCAGCCGCGGUAAUACGGAGGAUGCGAGCGUUAUCCGGAUUUAUUGGGUUUAAAGGGAGCGCAGGCUGCGAGGCAAGUCAGCGGUCAAAUGUCGGGGCUCAACCCCGGCCUGCCGUUGAAACUGUCCUGCUAGAGUUCGAGUGAGGUAUGCGGAAUGCGUUGUGUAGCGGUGAAAUGCAUAGAUAUGACGCAGAACUCCGAUUGCGAAGGCAGCAUACCAACUCGCGACUGACGCUGAGGCUCGAAAGCGUGGGUAUCGAACAGGAUUAGAUACCCUGGUAGUCCACGCAGUAAACGAUGAAUACUAACUGUUCGGAGGGCGACCUCUGAGUGGUAAAGCGAAAGCGUUAAGUAUUCCACCUGGGGAGUA
rnacentral:rRNA from 1 species